GCCAACAUUCCACCCCCUUUUCCAAAUUAUCCUCACCCACGCCCACAGUAUCUGCCCCCGACAAACUACCAGCCCAGACCACCUCUUCCUCCUGCUCAACCUAGACCACCUCAAAACAACCCGAGACCACCAAGAAACCCUGAUCCACCCCUUCCCCUCCCACUCAGCGAAAUAUACCGACACCUCGUCGGUGUAAACCAG
rnacentral:misc_RNA from 1 species